CAAAGUUAAAUUAUAGGUUAAACCCCUAUAUACCUCU
rnacentral:tRNA from 1 species